GGGGUAGAGAAUUUUUAUGUUGGGUCUGUAAAUGAACCCUGAGACAGAUUUGUGUGCAGAGGUUGUUGAAGUCAACAAGGAAGUCUUCCUUCUGUUCAGUGAGGUUUGCAUAGGUAUGUCAGUCGACACCAUUUUAUGGCUCGUAGGGCCGUGCCUCAUAGCAAGAAGUGUAAAUGCCAUGGUUGUUGGUGAGUAUCCAAUGCUGCAGUGGUGGGGACUGGGAUAAUCCCAG